rnacentral:lncRNA from 1 species
CGAUGCAAGGGCCUCUAAUUUAUUUAGGGAAUCUUCUAAUUAAAUUUGGUUACAUUUCAUCUUAUGCCUUUUUUGUUCUGAAUUUUCAGUUUUGGGAUUUCCAAGCUCCAUUCAAGAAGUCAGUUGGGCCUCCAAGAAGAUCACCUCUAGAUGGUAAAUUUGAUUGCAACUUCACCUUUAUCACCUUUAUUUUUCUUCUUCUUUUUCUUGAUAUGCAUCCAUUAGUGCGCUUAACCUUUUUGUGUUGCUUGAUGGAAUAAGUUCUGUAUGUGUGGUUCUUUGCUAAUUGUGCACGNUCUCUUUACAUUUCUCUUCCUUCUUUCUCUACAAUAUUCAUGUCUCUUUCUCUUCUUAUUAACCACUGUGAUUUCUACCGCUGGCGGCGACAGCAGCAGCACCAUCGUGCUCUCCUUCCUCUCCUGCUUCAUCUGACAGCCGCGCUCAUCCAGAUCGCCGUCGUGUAGCCUCCGCCUCCAUCGACGAGCAACAGCAACCAUUGUGCCCCCGCCGCCGGCAAUGUCUCUAUCUUUCCCCGUGUGCUUGAUUUUAUCCUUAUUUGGUGAUUUUCAUUUAUAUGUUCAAUUUUACUUCAUUAAAUUCUUUAAUUUUCUCUGCUUCAUUUUUAUUGUGACUUGCUUUGUGAUUCAGGACUGCGGUUCUCAUUUUUGUCUGUGGGCUUCAUUUUCUUGCCCUUGAAUUCAAUUUGGCAGAUCUGAUUCUUGAACUAGGGCUUCGAUACAACACUAUAUUUUGUGAUUCAGGAGUGCGGUUCUCCAUUUGUGGUGUGUUUUUUUUAAUUUAUCAUACAACACUAUAUUUGUGUAUGUUGUCGAUAUGAAUUUGCUUGAUUUCUUAUAUUCAAUAGUUUAUGUCUUUUAGAAUUGAGUCAUGUAUAUGGUAUGAUGUAUAUAGCUUAUGUCUAUUUUCACCAACAAGCAUGUGUUUGUAGUGAGAAUUAUUGAUUUUUCUCUUAAAACUUUGGGGAUUUAGUGCAUGUGUUUAUACUGCAGAAUUGAUGUGUAUAUGGUAGGAUGUAUACAGCUUAGUCAUAUUAUUGUUAGUUCUUUCUUUCUCCUUGACUAUUUUAAUUUGAUUUGUUGAACCCAUAACUAUUACAUAUAUAGUGUUUAGAAAAUUCAUGUUUAUGAGGUUGCUGUCUGUUGGUUGUCUCGAUCAAUUUGGCACCGAUUUUACUCAUUAAAUUCUUCAAUUUUCUCUGCUUCAUUUUUAUUUUGAUUUGCUCUAUGAUUCAGGGCUUGGCAACCGGAGGUCCCUCAGCUGGCUGUUAACGAUGGUGGGGAGGGCUGAGCUGUAGUGGCGUUUGUAGCAUUUUCAUGUUCUGACAGGAUCGCGGAUGGCAAAAGGUACAAGUAGAUACAAAUUUGUUUAAAUAAUGAUAUUUGUAUUAAAUUGGCUACAACACUCGCCAGCCAUCUCUCUAUCUUUCUCCUGCCAAAUAGAUACCGUCGUUCGCCGGCUACAACACCUCUCGCAAAAAAAAAAAUUAAGCAUGAGAAGAAGAAGGUGAAGCGGACUUUGAGUUUUGCUUUCCAACCGAGUUCCUUACAAUUUUGGAACUAUUGGCGAUGAUCUAGAUGGAGGUAUCAAUUUGUUUCAGUAAUUUUCAUUUAAUUUGUUUUAUUACUUUUUCUAUAUAUGUCUUCCAUUUGUCGCCGGAUCUAGAUUUCUUUCUCUCUCCAACAUCACGUUUCUUUUUCAUCUUCUGUUUUCUAAUUCAGCUUCUAUUUCUCUAUAUUUUUCCAUAAAGUUUCUAUUUCUUUAUUUGUCUUCCAGUAACAUCAGCAACAGUUGUAGGGUUUUUUUUUAAUUCAGUUUCUCUUUCUCAAUUCAGUUGGCGCGACAGGCGGCGAUCGGCGAGGAGACUGGCAAAGCAAGAAGAAAGAAAAGGGAGAAGAUUUUGGCAAACGGUGCAAGGGCCUCUAAUUUAUUUAGGGAAUCUUCUAAUUAAAUUUGGUUACAUUUCAUAUUAUGCCUUUUUUGUUCUGAAUUUUCAGUUUUGGGAUUUCCAAGCUCCAUUCAAGAAGUCAGUUGGGCCUCCGAGAAGAUCACCUCUAGAUGGUAAAUUUGAUUGCAACUUCACCUUUAUCACCUUUAUUUUUCUUCUUCUUUUUCUUGAUAUGCAUCCAUUAGUGCGCUAACCUUUUUGUUGUUGCUUGAUGGAAAUAAGUUCUGUAUGUGUGGUUCUUUGCAAUUGUGCACAUAAUUACAAAAUAUUAUCCCAUAUAAUGAAGUAGAUUUGCUCAGUUAUAUGAGUGAAGUAGA